AAGUCUUCAUGUAGGUAUUCAAGUAUGCCUCUUGAAUUGUGUUACCCAACUUUGAAAACCAAUAUGUGAUGUUUCCCCUAGACACAAUUCUCACAAAAAUCUACCUUGCUCACCUUAUCAUUUCCAAAUAAGCUUUAUUGCUUUAACACUUGCAAGCAUUUAUAACUUAUGUGACCAAACUUCUUAUGCCAUAGAAUCGCCUUAUCUUUUGGUGCCUCAACUAAAGUGUUGCUGUCAAUCACUGUUUUACCAAUUAGGUAGUACUGAGAGUCUUUCUUAAUUCCCUUAACAACUACCAUUGAGCCAAUACAAAUCAUCACUACAACAUUUUUUACCAAAUAUUACAUAAUUUUAAAAGUGUUAUUAACGUAUGCAAAUAACAAUAUUUUUUUUCCUCCUCUUCUUGUUCUUUUUUACUCUCUCUCUCUCUCUCUCUCUCUUCAACAACGAAAUCAUAAAGAAGAAGGGCAGCUCUCGGAUGAUCUACCACCUCCACUCUGUCGGACCUCCCACUCCGACAACGCCCAAUCACACGAUCUCUCUGAUAAUUGAGCUGUCUCACGGGAACUCUUACUUUUGUUUGCAUUUUGCAAGAGAGCUUCAAAUGAGUAUAAGGCAGGUGCAAAAUAUUUUGUAGAGACUGUAGAAAAGGAAGCUGAUUCUCCAACAAAGUUGAUUUGUCCUUGCAAAGAUUGUCGAAAUUUAAGUCACUAGUAUGUUAGUGUUGUUUAUGAGCACUUGGUUAUCAAUGGGAUUGAUCCAACAUAUACUGUUUGGUAUCAUCAUGGGGAGGAAUCAUCUAGAAGUGAAGAUAUAGCCCAAAGGGACAAUUAUCUAGAGUCUCAAUCUGGUAUGAGCGGAGAGCAAUCCAAUGCACAUAGUCCUACUUUGGUGGGAGUGUUGGAACUCAAGGCCAAAGAUGCAAGCUUUUAGAUUGGAAUGGUUCUAGGAAUAUUGUUACUUAUGGGUAUUUAAUUUCAAAUGAUUCAAAAGAUUUAGUUCUUAACGUCCCUUUGGACCAUUUGCCAUGAAGGUUGGUGUUGAUUUUGCAAGAGAGCCAGAUGCAUUUUUGUGGAGGCCAACUUUAGGGAUAACUUGUAUUGUAGAAAGUGUUGGAAGUGUUAUUACUUGGCCAGCCGACAAAGUCAUAAUGAGGUAAAGAUUGAUCUUAUAUAUUAUAAUGAGUUGUGUCAUAUUGUUUUUGGAUCUGUUCUGGAAAUAUCUGAGAUUUUUAAUUGCAGGUAUCAAAAUUUAGGAUUUAUCGAAAAAUAGUUGUUAUGUUGCCGAUUUUUUUUUAAAUAGCAACCUGAUGUUAUGCUUAUUGGUUAAGAAGAUAACAUAUGAGUUUUGUUUUCUUAUUGCAUUUUUUUCUCUAUGUUAUCUUGGUGAUGAAGAUAGCGACAUGAGACUUGGAUGCUUGCAAUUAAUAAAGAAAUAGUAUUGGACAAUUGUUAUAAUUUGCCUUUUAUUAGACUCAUUAGACAUACUCUUUCUAAGCAUGGACUUUUAUUAUGGUAUUUUGCACUUGAAAUUUUUUAUUUGGGACAUAUGUAUUGGAUAUUUUGGUUGAUACAAAAAAAAAAAUACAUUGGACUUUAUCAAAUUCUAAUUACAUUAUUGGGACAAAUAAUAUAUUACUUUAUCAAUAAAAUGUAAUUAAAGAUAAUUAGAUUACAUCUUGAAAAUGUAAUUAAAGAUAAUUAGAUUACAUCUUGAAAAUGUAAUCAAAUGAAAAAAAUAUACUUACGAUAAAGAAUCAUAUCAUCUAGAUAAUGUUACUAUUGACAAUAUAUAACACCAAAACAACGUUAUAAUAGUCUAUUUAAUAACAUGAAGAAAAAAAAUGUAAUCAAAUGGCAAGACUUUUAAUAUCAUGGGCAGAUUUACACUUGCUAAGUGUUAUAAACUGCAUUUGAUAACACUUUUCGAGAGUUAUCGUAAAUGUUUUUUCUUGUAGUUUUAUGGUUCCACGCUCUAUUUUUACUGUAUAAUCUGUAUCAUCAAGCACGCUUAGUGAAACCAAAUUUCUAGACAGAGUAGAAACAUACCUAACAUUCUUCUAUGUUCGAAUGGCACCAACAAACAUUUUGAUGUUGAUUGAGCCUAUGUCAGUUUCUUGGCAAGAUUGAUUAUUCCCCAUAAUAACAUUACUACCAUUCAACUCUCUAAAAUUUUGAAGCUAUUCCUUAUUGAAAGUCAUACGGUAUGAACACCCAGAGUCCAAGAUCCAAUCUUUUUCAUUUUCUCCAAAUGCUACAAUUAAAGCUUCAACAUCAUUGCAAGCUUCUCCAAUAUUUGUUGAAUCCGUAUGUUCAGAUUUUCCCUCGUAAAUGGAACUCCUGCCUUUCUGUUUUCUAAGCCAGAGAUAGCAAUCUCUCUUCAUGUGACCAAGCUUGCCACAAUGAAUACAUGCCCUUGAAUUGUUUGGACCCCUGGAACCAAAUUUACCUCUGCUUUUGUUGUGCCUUUUACCAUGAUAGCCAUUUGAGUUUUUGUGUGGUGAUCGACCCCUUGCGUAGUAGCUUUCUCCAAGGCUUGAUGAAGAAUAUUUCUCUCACUUUAACUCUAAAUCAUUUGAUUUCAAUGCUGAAAUUACUUCUUCUAAAGUAAUUGAUGUACAACAAUACUUGAUGGCACUUUUAACCUCCUUAAACGAUUCAGGCAGAGAAUUUAAAAUGAUAAUUGCUUGGUCACUUAAAGCUUCUCCUUCUCCCGAGUUGGCCUACUCAAUAUUCAUCCUUAGGAACUCAUCCAAAUUCUGCUCCAAACUCUUGCUACUGCUCAUCUUAAAUCAAAAUAUUUUUUCCUUAAAGAAAGAUUUUGUUGGUGAGAGUCUUUUACUGAAAUAACUCAUCUAGCUUCUUCCAAAUCUUGGAUGGAGUGUCUUCUUUAUCAACCAUUCUAAUGAUUGAAUCUGACAAAUGAAAAAUCAUAAUCUCAAUGGCUGAUUCAAGCAUUUCUUCUUUUUGAUCUGUUGUAGGACCUUCAGGCCGCGAAAUGGGAUCUUCAAGAACACGCAAUAACUUUUGAGAAGUCAACAUUCCUUUAAUCUUUCUUCUCCAAAUUCUAAAAUCCUCAUUACCAUCAAACUUCUCUAAUUCAAGCUUCAUAUUACUUGUAUUGUUGCAAUAACUCCAAUCCAAGAUACUUUGAACAGAUUCUUGAACCUUCGAACUCGAUUCUUGGACUUCUUUCUUGACUGAAACUUUUUCUGUGUCACUUUUUGAUAGAGAACUUGAUUCAGCCAGUUCUUCCCUUCUUUGUCACAUUUGAUCUUGAAGCUGAACUUUUCCAAUUGACUUGGCUCUUGAUACCACUGUUAGGAAAUUUACCUUCCUCACACCUGCUUCAUCUACAAACACAAAUCAACAAACCAGUAGACACAACAUGCACAAAUUCAAUAGAAAAAUCAGCAAGAAAAACAAUAAAAUCAAUACCAAGAAUUAUAGAGGUUCAGCCCAAAUAAACUUGAGCCUACAUCCUCUUUGAACUCCCCUUGGGAUGUUCUUCUCUACACUAUGAAACAGCAAUGGAGAUUACAACUUGAGAGCUUCUACACUUGAUGGAUUACAAUGCCUUGAACCCAAGCAAAACCCCAAGUAAUGUACAAAGGAAUAUCUCACCCAAGACCCAAGUGGUUCUCUCUCUUUCUCUCUCUAAAAGAGCUCCUAUUCUUUACAAAUGAAAUCUAUUAUUUUUCUCUCACAACAACUGAGAUAAUAACAACAACUGAGAUAAUAAGACCUAUUUAUAGAGAGUUUUACAUCUGUCACCAAACUUAAAAAUAUCUGAAAUAAUAGCAUACUCAUCUGGCGAAAUAGUAGACAAGAUUAGAAGAAAAAACGUAACUUUGAUGAUGUGAUCUAAUGUUUAAUGCAUACCAAAUAUUCUAUCAGGUUCCACAACUUAAAUUUCAGUAGAAGGAAAAGUUACCAUAUUAUAUAAUCCAGUCCACAGAGAGUAGAUAACAGUGUACAAAUUGUCUUAGAUGGUCAACCCGUCUAAUUAAACUCUCAUGAUUUACUACUCCAAAUUCAACUUCCCAACACUCCGAUAAACCUUUUAAAUAUAAGUGAGUGAAGAAAGAUCGAAAAGGAAAUUUCAAUAGACCCUCUAAAGAAUUUCUCUUACUAUUUGCUACAACAAAAUGUUGAUGAAUCUCUAAAAAAAAUACUCAAUUUUCUCACGUUUUCCUUAAAAAAGUAGACGCUGGGCUAAAAUGUCCUGACUGAAGUCAAGAACUUGGCAUGGAAUUCUUUAAACCUUCUAUAAUAGUCACUACCAGUACCAACACUGGCCAACUAAGGUCUACGAAAACUAAUCUUCUGUUCAUCAUGACAUAAGCAUUAGUAGCACCAACAAAAUCAAGACUACCCUUCAGACUUCAACAAGAGUGAAAUAUUGCUACACUUUUCACAAAAGAGCUUAAGUUUAGCUAUGCAUUGAUCUAAGUUCAAACAAUAUAAAAAGAAAGUCCAAAAUACUUUAGACGAAAAGUGCUUCAAGGAGAGGUACACUAAUCUAAUAUAGACCAAUAAUAGUGCACAUAGAAAUGUCAUAAAAUACAUCUUUGUAUUUUCUCCUUUCUUCUUCUCUCCUUCCCCAUUUGGUUCUUUCGUCUUAAUCCUCCGUCGGCGAUGCAACCUCUGACCCCGCCCUUAACGGCGACGCACCUCCAGCCCUCUUCUUCUUCUUCUUCAAAUCUAAUUUUAUUCUUAUGGGUUUCUAGCACCAUUGCCCCUGAGUUAAUUGUGAUUUGUCAAUUCGGUCCGUGAGUUUUUUUUUUGGCAAUUAAAUCCUUAUGUUUGUUAAAUAGUAUCAAUUCUCUUAACUACCGUUAAAAUGUAACAGAGAUAUACCCAUGUGACUCUCACAUGGCUAAUACUAAGGACAAAAUCAUCUUCACAUUAGCCCACAUUCUUUCUUCUCUAACCUUUUCAUCUUCUUGUAUGGACUGUUCGUCUCUCUCAGAGUUAAACAACUGUAAGAAAAAAAGAAAAAAAAUCAAUCCCAAAACUCCCCAUUUGAAGUUUAUGAUUAAUAGAUGGCAAAGUUUCGUGACAAAAGAGGGGGAAAGCCAAUAUAUGGGAAUUUGGUGUAUUUUUGCUAUUGAAAAGUAAGAAAAAUGAAGGAGAAUAAAUGGCAUUUUCAAAGAAAAGGAAGUAAAAAACUGGCAUUUUCCUUCAGCCAGGCCCGUUACAGCCCUCAGCCCAGGCCCAUUUUCGGUCUAUCCUUGCAGCCUCCUUCAGCUCAUCAUGUGCCAGUUGUCCCAUUUGUAGCAUCCUGAAGACUUCCCAGCUGCCCCUCAAGUGUAAUGCACCUGCUAGCCGAAGUCAAGAUGCAUACUAGCCGCCAGACCCAUGCCUAAGAGCAUCCCCAGCCUUCACGUGUGCACCAGUCUCCACCCAGCAGCUCCUUUGGCCCAAGCCUUCAGCCUCCACGCCAAGCCCAGUCCAGCAAGGCCCGAGCCCACAUUACUUCCCAGCCUAAUGAAUGCCCAGCCGAACCCACAUUGCCUCAGCCAUAAAAAGACCAAAAAAAAUCAAGCUUUUAUUCCCAAUGUUUUUUCUUUUCACUCAAAUAUCAAUUCACUCUUCCCUAUUUUUCUUACAUAAAUAAACAUUCCUAAUUAAUUUUUUUUACCCUAGCUUUUCACUAAUCUUUUACCCAACCAAACAUUUCAUCUUUCCAAUACUCUUACACUUACUCUAUUUAUCCUACUACUUUCCAACACAAUUAAAUUAAUCAAUUUAUUUAUUUUAAUUUGAUUAAUUUAAUCUCCAUAUUUUGCCUAUAAAUAAAGUCUUGUAAGACCAUUUGGAGGGCUCUUCUUCUUCAUCUUUUCAACAUCUUCUACACAUAUUUUUCUCUCUUCUUUUCACUAUUUUCUCUCUACCAUUUUCAUCUUUUGAAGAGCAUGUCAAGUAUAUUAUUUUGUAAUUUUAUUUCAAUCUAGUUAUGAGCUUCUAAUCUUUUUCAAAGGUUAUUAAGAUGAUGAUGAAGCAAAAUUUAACUAGAUAGUAUUUUUUGUUGUAUGUUGAUUUCCCAUUUGUACAACAUUGUUUAUGGAUUUUUCUAUCA